CGCGUAGGCGGCGGUCCAAGUCGAGUGUGAAAGCCCCGGGCUCAACCUGGGAGGUGCGCUUGAGACUGGUUCGCUGGAGUUCGGGAGAGGAGCGUGGAAUUCCCAGUGUAGAGGUGAAAUUCGUAGAUAUUGGGAAGAACACCGGUGGCGAAGGCGGCGCUCUGGACCGAGACUGACGCUGAGGCGCGAAGGCGUGGGGAGCAAACA
rnacentral:rRNA from 1 species